rnacentral:rRNA from 1 species
ACGCUGGCGGCAGGCUAACACAUGCAAGUCGAGCGGAAACCAAGGGGAGCUUGCUCCUGAGGUGUCGAGCGGCGAACGGGUGAGUAAUGCCUAGGGAUCUGCCCAGUCGAGGGGGAUAACAGUUGGAAACGACUGCUAAUACCGCAUACGCCCUACGGGGGAAAGGAGGGGACCUUCGGGCCUUUCGCGAUUGGAUGAACCUAGGUGGGAUUAGCUUGUUGGUGAGGUAAGAGCUCACCAAGGCGACGAUCCCUACUGGUCUGAGAGGAUGAUCAGCCACACUGGAACUGAGACACGGUCCAGACUCCUACGGGAGGCAGCAGUGGGGAAUAUUGCACAAUGGGCGAAAGCCUGAUGCACCAUACCGCGUGUAUGAAGAAGGCCUUCGGGUUGUAAAGUACUUUCAGCGAGGAGGAAAGGUAGCAGCUUAAUACGUUGUUACUGUGACGUUACUCGCAGAAGAAGCACCGGCUAACUCCGUGCCAGCAGCCGCGGUAGUACGGAGGGUGUAAGCGUUAAUCGGAAAUACUGGGCGUAAAGCGCAUGCAGGCGGUUGUUAAGCGAGAUGUGAAAGCCCCGGGCUCAACCUGGGAACUGCAUUUCGAACUGGCAAACUAGAGUUCUUGAGAGGGUGGUAGAAUUUCAGGUGUAGCGGUGAAAUGCGUAGAGAUCUGAAGGAAUACCAGUGGCGAAGGCGGCCACCUGGCAAGUAACUGACGCUCAGAUUCGAAAGCGUGGGUAGCAAACGGGAUUAGAUACCCCGUAGUCCCGCCGUAAACGAUGUCUACUCGGAGUUUGGUCCUUGAGAACUGGGCUCUUAAGCUAACGCAGCAAGUGACCGCCUGGGGAGUACGGCCGCAAGGUAAAACUCAUAAUGAC